rnacentral:rRNA from 1 species
ACCCCUUUACAAGUAUCAAUUGGAGGGCAAGUCUGGUGCCAGCAGCCGCGGUAAUUCCAGCUCCAAUAGCGUAUAUUAAAGUUGUUGCAGUUAAAAAGCUCGUAGUUGGAUUUCUGUUAAUAAUUUAUAUAAAAUAUUUUGAUGAAUAUUUAUAUAAUAUUAACAUAAUUCAUAUUACUAUAUAUUUUAGUAUAUGAAAUUUUACUUUGAGAAAAUUAGAGUGCUUAAAGCAGG